GACGAACGCUGGCGGCGUGCCUAAUACAUGCAAGUAGAACGCACAGAUUAUACCGUAGCUUGCUACACCAUAAACUGUGAGUUGCGAACGGGUGAUUGACGCGUAGGUAACCUGCCUGGGAGCGGGUGAUAACUAUUGGAAACGAUAGCUAAUACCGCAUAAUAUUCAUUAUUCCAUGAUAAUUGAUUGAAAUGUGCAAUUGCAUCACUACCAGAUGGACCUGCGUUGUAUUAGCUAGUAGGUGAGGUAACGGCUCACCUAGUCCACGAUACAUAGCCGAACUGAGAGGGUGAACGGCCACACUGGGAACGAGAAAAGGCUCAGAACCCCAAGGGAGGGAGCAGUAGGGAAUCUUUGGGAAUGGAGGAAAGGCUGGACGGGGAAAGCCGGGUGAGGGGAGAAGGGUCUCGGAUCCGAAAGAUUCGUUGAAAGGGGAGAAAGGGUGUGGGAGGGGAAAGUGCACGCUGUGACGGUAUCUUAUCAGAAAGGGACGGCUAACUACGUG
rnacentral:rRNA from 1 species